CGGUAAUACGUAGGGGGCAAGCGUUGUCCGGAUUUAUUGGGCGUAAAGGGUACGCAGGCGGUUAUGUAAGUCGGAUGUAAAAGACCGGGGCUCAACCCCGGCAAGCAUCUGAAACUGCAUGACUUGAGUUAAGGAGAGGAAAGUGGAAUUCCUAGUGUAGCGGUGGAAUGCGUAGAUAUUAGGAGGAAUACCCGUGGCGAAGGCGACUUUCUGGACUUAUACUGACGCUGAGGUACGAAAGUGUGGGGAGCAAACAGGAUUAGAUACCCUGGUAGUCCACGCCGUAAACGAUGAGUGCUAAGUGUUAGGGGGUUUCCGCCCCUUAGUGCUGCAGUAAACGCAUUAAGCACUCCGCCUGGGGAGUACGGCCCCAGGCUGAAACUCAAAGAAAUUGACGGGGNCCNCACAACNGUGGANCAUGUGNUUUAUUC
rnacentral:rRNA from 1 species